UUUGAAUAAGAAAGGCCGUUCGUUCAACUUCUCUCUCAACUUCGGAUCGCCGCCCACAACCUUUACUAAAUAACAAAUGUGCAGACCUCCAAAAGUUUUAUUCAUCAUCUCUAUAACAAUUCUGUUAGUUUUUUAUUUUGUUUCGUUGUGUUUAAAUUAUUUUUGAUAAUAAAUAAUUAUGUUAAAAAAAGUUUUACUUAAUAAAUGUGUGUCAAACAG